rnacentral:rRNA from 1 species
CCGGAAUUACUGGGUGUAAAGGGAGCGCAGGCGGGAAGACAAGUUGGAAGUGAAAUCUAUGGGCUCAACCCAUAAACUGCUUUCAAAACUGUUUUUCUUGAUUAGU